rnacentral:rRNA from 1 species
UUGGGCGUAAGAGCUCGUAGGCGGUUUGUCGCGUCUGCUGUGAAAACUCGAGGCUCAACCUCGGGCUUGCAGUGGGUACGGGCAGACUAGAGUGCGGUAGGGGAGACUGGAAUUCCUGGUGUAGCGGUGGAAUGCGCAGAUAUCAGGAGGAACACCGAUGGCGAAGGCAGGUCUCUGGGCCGCAACUGACGCUGAGGAGCGAAAGCAUGGGGAGCGAACAGGAUUAGAUACCCUGGUAGUCCAUGCCGUAAACGUUGGGCACUAGGUGUGGGGCUCAUUCCACGAGUUCCGUGCCGCAGCAAACGCAUUAAGUGCCCCGCCUGGGGAGUACGGCCGCAAGGCUAAAACUCAAAGAAAUUGACGGGGGCCCGCACAAGCGGCGGAGCAUGCGGAUUAAUUCGAUGCAACGCGAAGAACCUUACCAAGGCUUGACAUACACCGGAAACUUCCAGAGAUGGUUGCCCCGCAAGGUCGGUGUACAGGUGGUGCAUGGUUGUCGUCAGCUCGUGUCGUGAGAUGUUGGGUUAAGUCCCGCAACGAGCGCAACCCUCGUCCUAUGUUGCCAGCACGUGAUGGUGGGGACUCAUAGGAGACUGCCGGGGUCAACUCGGAGGAAGGUGGGGAUGACGUCAAAUCAUCAUGCCCCUUAUGUCUUGGGCUUCACGCAUGCUACAAUGGCCGGUACAAAGGGCUGCGAUACCGCGAGGUGGAGCGAAUCCCAAAAAGCCGGUCUCAGUUCGGAUUGGGGUCUGCAACUCGACCCCAUGAAGUCGGAGUCGCUAGUAAUCGCAGAUCAGCAACGCUGCGGUGAAUACGUUCCCGGGCCUUGUACACACCGCCCGUCAAGUCACGAAAGUCGGUAACACCC